GGCUACAUCAUGUUGAAACACCAGUUCUCAUAUGAUCACUGAAGUUAAGCAAUGUCAAGCCUGUUCAGUACUUAGGUGACCUCUUGGGAAUAUAAUGUGCUGUAAG